rnacentral:rRNA from 1 species
UACGGAGGGUGCGAGCGUUGUCCGGAAUCACUGGGCGUAAAGGGCGCGUAGGCGGCCUGAUAAGUAGGGGGUGAAAUCCUGCGGCUUAACCGCAGGGCUGCCUUCUAAACUGUCAGGCUAGAGCACAGUAGAGGCAGGUGGAGUUCCCGGUGUAGCGGUGGAAUGCGUAGAGAUCGGGAAGAACAUCAGUGGCGAAGGCGGCCUGCUGGGCUGUUGCUGACGCUGAGGCGCGACAGCGUGGGGAGCAAACAGG